rnacentral:rRNA from 1 species
GAUCAUGGCUCAGGAUGAACGCUAGCGGCAGGCUUAACACAUGCAAGUCGAGGGGCAGCAUAAACAUUGCUUGCAAUGUUGGUGGCGACCGGCGCACGGGUGCGUAACGCGUAUGCAACCUACCUAUAACAGGGGGAUAACACUGAGAAAUUGGUACUAAUACCCCGUAAUAUUAUUGAAGGCAUCUUUGAUAGUUGAAAGUUCCGGCGGUUAUAGAUGGGCAUGCGUACGAUUAGCUUGUUGGCGGGGUAACGGCCCACCAAGGCGACGAUCGUUAGGGGUUCUGAGAGGAAGGUCCCCCACACUGGAACUGAGACACGGUCCAGACUCCUACGGGAGGCAGCAGUGAGGAAUAUUGGUCAAUGGUCGGAAGACUGAACCAGCCAAGUAGCGUGAAGGAUGACUGCCCUACGGGUUGUAAACUUCUUUUGUUUGGGAAUAAAAGACGCUACGUGUAGCGUUCUGCAUGUACCUUACGAAUAAGCAUCGGCUAAUUCCGUG